CAUUAUAUAUAUAUCAAAUCUUUUUUUCCUACCGAGCCCCGGAAGGGACAUGUCCGUAUGGCGAAGCGACAAUGAAGGGCACUCACCCGGACGAGAAUUUUAUUGAGUUUUAUUUUAAAAUCGGCCUGAAACACACAGACAUUCAAGCAGUGCGAUGCGCUAAGAGUCUGCCAUGCAGACCAGCGAUCCUGAUAAUGUUGUCGGCCUUGGAUGAUGAGGUCCAGUUACCAGGAGCACUAGUCUGCAGCUUACUGGUUCCGUCUUGCAGCUCCUCCACGCUGCCCUCCUCUCUACAGACCAAAUCAAGAAAAGGGAACCAGGAAGCUGCUGUGGAUCCUCUGCAGUAUCUGGAGAGGUCAGAGGAACGGUUCUUGGAACAGAUCAGAAGACACCAAGACGUGACCUCUGCCAUGCUCCAGAACAUCCAGAAGAUGAAUGAAAACCUUGGUUGCACUGAUGGGACGCAUGGUGUCGGUGCUGGAGCAACUGUCCCAGAAUUAAACUGCAUUGUUGACUAUUGGCUUUUCUAGAAAAUAAAUCUUUUUUAGUACUUCA